GUGGUGCAAUGGGUGAGCACGCCUGACUGUUAACCAGAAGGCUGGUGGUUCAAGUCCACCCAGGGACA